rnacentral:rRNA from 1 species
UGAGGAAUAUUGGUCAAUGGGCGAGAGCCUGAACCAGCCAAGUAGCGUGCAGGAUGACGGCCCUAUGGGUUGUAAACUGCUUUUAUAUGGGAAUAAAGUGAGGGACGUGUCCCUUAUUGCAUGUACCAUACGAAUAAGGACCGGCUAAUUCCGUGCCAGCAGCCGCGGUAAUACGGAAGGUCCAGGCGUUAUCCGGAUUUAUUGGGUUUAAAGGGAGCGUAGGCUGUUUGUUAAGCGUGUUGUGAAAUGUAGGAGCUCAACUUUUAGAUUGCAGCGCGAACUGGCAGACUUGAGUGCGCACAACGUAGGCGGAAUUCAUGGUGUAGCGGUGAAAUGCUUAGAUAUCAUGACGAACUCCGAUUGCGAAGGCAGCUUACGGGAGCGCAACUGACGCUCGAGCUCGAAGGUGCGGGUAUCGAACAGG